GAUGACAUCAUUGUUGAGACGUUGAAGCAUAAGCUCCAUGACGUAGCCUGUAAAUGGACUUUUGAAUAAUGGAAGUCAUGUGGAACAUUUGGUUCGGCUUAUUUUUAUAAUAGAAGAUCGUAUCAUUUUAUUAUAUAAGUAAGACCAAGAACUUCUAGACAAUAUUAGAAAAGACCAAAGCCUUGUGAAUUGUGAUAGUGGUUAACGUGGAAAAAAGUACUAUUGCGAAUAUUUUAUUCAUAAUGUCUUAUUCGAAUAUUAUUUCAGAACAAAAAACGCGUUAUUUGCAUUGGUUUUCCGAAUAAUAUAAACAACUUAAUUGAUGAUGUUGGUAUUAUCAUUUUUUAAAAUCAUGUUAAUGGUUCAUUCGGCGCAUUUUCAAAAUGACUCUCUAUUAUAAAGUUUGUAAAACUCUAUAUUUGAAGUUUCAAGGUAUUUUUUUUCCAAAAACAAAACUUUAAAAUUAUUUGUAAUUUACACUAUGCUAUUUAUAUUUGUCAUAAUUAAUAUAGGUCUAUAAAAAAUAUGUAAAUAACUAGCACAUAUAUAAAAAUAUUAUAGUAAUAUUAAUUAAUAAAAUCUUACACUAAAAUAUAAAAUUAUAAAUAAAAAUAUGCAAUUAAAUAUUAAACUACAAGAGAAAUACCACAUUAUCACAUAAAAUUAUUUUAUUAAUUCUCCAUUUUCAGUUAUACAAAAUUUGUUUACACAAUACUUUAGAAGUUUCGGAAAACAAUUACUAGACUAUUAGUGUUGUUGUAAUAUUUAAAUUUGUGUAAUAAUUAUGUCUUCAUGUAUAUAUCUUCUUAAAAAAAUUAUUAAGUUUCUUUUGUAAUAUUCUUAUUGUCUAAGUCUACUUU